ensembl:misc_RNA Metazoa_SRP Metazoan signal recognition particle RNA
GCCGGGCGUGGUGGUGGUGCUCGCCUGUAGUCCCAGCUACUGGGAAGGCUGAGGCGGGAGGAUCACUUGAGCUCAGGAGUUCCAGGCUGCAGUGAGCUCUGAUACCACUGCGCCCUAGCCUGGGCGACAGAGCAAGACCCUGUCUCAG